rnacentral:rRNA from 1 species
CAGGACGAACGCUGGCGGCGUGCCUAACACAUGCAAGUCGAACGGAGUAUGAGAGAAGCUUGCUUUUUAAUGCUUAGUGGCGAACGGGUGAGUAACGCGUGAGCAACCUGCCUAUAAGAGGGGGAUAACGUUUGGAAACGAACGCUAAUACCGCAUGAAGUAUAUUAACGGCAUCGUAGAUAUACCAAAGGAGCAAUCCGCUUAUAGAUGGGCUCGCGUCUGAUUAGAUAGUUGGUGAGGUAACGGCUCACCAAGUCGACGAUCAGUAGCCGAACUGAGAGGUUGAUCGGCCACAUUGGGACUGAGACACGGCCCAGACUCCUACGGGAGGCAGCAGUGGGGGAUAUUGGUCAAUGGGGGGAAAAACCCCUGAACCAGCAACGCCGCGUGAAGGAAGACGGUCUUCGGAUUGUAAACUUUUGUUGUUGAGGAGGAUAAUGACGGUACUCAACGAGGAAGCCACGGCUAACUACGUGCCAGCCGCCGC